UAUCUUUUUUCUGUGAUAGAGAUUCUUUGCUUUUUGUUUCUAACAAAGCAAAGAAUCUCUAUCACAGAAAAAAGACG
ensembl:miRNA MIR4679-2 microRNA 4679-2